UGGGGGAUAUUGCACAAUGGGCGAAAGCCUGAUGCAGCAACGCCGCGUGAGGGAAGACGGUCUUCGGAUUGUAAACCUUUAGCUUUGGGGAAGAAACAAAUGACGGUACCCAAAGGGGCAGCCACGGCUAACUACGUGCCAGCAGCCGCGGUAAUACGGAGGUGGCAAGCGUUGUCCGGAAUUACUGGGUGUAAAGGGAGCGCAGGCGGGGAGAAAAGUCAGCUGUGAAAACUAUGGGCUUAACCCAUAGAUUGCAGUUGAAACUGUUUGGCUUGAGUGGGGUAGAGGUAGGCGGAAUUCCGAGUGUAGCGGUGAAAUGCGUAGAUAUUCGGAGGAACACCAGUGGCGAAGGCGGCCUACUGGGCUCUAACUGACGCUGAGGCUCGAAAGUGUGGGGAGCAAACA
rnacentral:rRNA from 1 species